rnacentral:misc_RNA from 1 species
UCCGGUUUAGCACCGGCAGUCUUUCCAGAGUCCUCGCCAUGACGCGUUAGCAACUGAAAACGGGGGUUGCGCUCGUUGCGGGACUUAACCCAACAUCUCACGACACGAGCUGACGACAGCCAUGCAGCACCUGUGCACGGACUCCGAAGAGGGGCCGAUGUUUCCACCGGCUUUCCCGUGCAUGUCAAGCCCAGGUAAGGUUCUUCGCGUUGCUUCGAAUUAAACCGCACGCUCCGCUGCUUGUGCGGGCCCCCGUCAAUUCCUUUGAGUUUCAGCCUUGCGGCCGUACUCCCCAGGCGGGGCACUUAAUGCGUUAGCGCCGGCACUCAGGGGGUCGCUCCCCCAAGCACCUAGUGCCCAUCGUUUACGGCGUGGACUAC